rnacentral:rRNA from 1 species
GAUGAACGCUGGCGGCGUGCCUAAUACAUGCAAGUCGAGCGAACAGAUGAGGAGCUUGCUCCUUUGACGUUAGCGGCGGACGGGUGAGUAACACGUGGAUAACCUACCUAUAAGACUGGGAUAACUUCGGGAAACCGGAGCUAAUACCGGAUAAUAUAUUGAACCGCAUGGUUCAACAGUGAAAGACGGUCUUGCUGUCACUUAUAGAUGGAUCCGCGCCGCAUUAGCUAGUUGGUAAGGUAACGGCUUACCAAGGCAACGAUGCGUAGCCGACCUGAGAGGGUGAUCGGCCACACUGGAACUGAGACACGGUCCAGACUCCUACGGGAGGCAGCAGUAGGGAAUCUUCCGCAAUGGGCGAAAGCCUGACGGAGCAACGCCGCGUGAGUGAUGAAGGUCUUCGGAUCGUAAAACUCUGUUAUUAGGGAAGAACAAAUGUGUAAGUAACUAUGCACGUCUUGACGGUACCUAAUCAGAAAGCCACGGCUAACUACGUG